rnacentral:rRNA from 1 species
GCGCAGCAGGCGAGAAACUUCACACUGUGCGAAAGCACGAUGAGGGAAUCCCAAGUGCUUGCACGUAAGUGUAAGCUGUUUCUCUGUUUAAAACGCAGAGAGAGUAAGGGCUGGGUAAGACGGGUGCCAGCCGCCGCGGUAAUACCUGCAGCUCAAGUGGUGACCGUUAUUAUUGGGCCUAAAACGUCCGUAGCCGGUUUAAUAAAUGCCUGGGUAAAUCGUGUAGCUUAACUAUACGAAUUCCGGGUAGACUGUUAAACUCGAGACCGGGAGAAGUUAGAGGUACUCCUGGGGUAGAGGUGAAAUUCUGUAAUCCUAGGGGGACCACCAGUGGCGAAGGCGUCUAACUAGAACGGGUCUGACGGUGAGGGACGAAGCCCUGGGGCGCAAACGGGAUUAGAUACCCCUGUAGU